rnacentral:tRNA from 1 species
GCCUCUGUAGCUCAGUUGGUAGAGAAGGGGACUGAAAAUCCCCUUGUCGUUGGUUCGAUUCCGACCGGAGGCACCA